rnacentral:rRNA from 1 species
GACGAACGCUGGCGGCGUGCUUAACACAUGCAAGUCGAACGGAAAGGCCCUGCUUUUGUGGGGUGCUCGAGUGGCGAACGGGUGAGUAACACGUGAGUAACCUGCCCUUGACUUUGGGUUAACUUCAGGAAACUGGGGCUAUUACCGGUUAGGAGCUCCUGCUGCAUGGUGGGGGUUGGAAAGUUUCGGCGGUUGGGGAUGGACUCGCGGCUUAUCAGCUUGUUGGUGGGGUAGUGGCUUACCAAGGCUUUGACGGGUAGCCGGCCUGAGAGGGUGACCGGCCACAUUGGGACUGAGAUACGGCCCAGACUCCUACGGGAGGCAGCAGUGGGGAAUAUUGCACAAUGGGCGGAAGCCUGAUGCAGCAACGCCGCGUGCGGGAUGACGGCCUUCGGGUUGUAAACCGCUUUCGCCUGUGACGAAGCGUGAGUGACGGUAAUGGGUAAAGAAGCACCGGCUAACUACGUG